rnacentral:rRNA from 1 species
CCUACGGGUGGCAGCAGUGGGGAAUAUUGCACAAUGGGCGAAAGCCUGACGCAGCGACGCCGCGUGAGGGAUGAAGGUCUUCGGAUCGUAAACCUCUGUCAGCAGGGAAGAACGGUCACUGUGCUAAUCAGCAGUGAAUUGACGGUACCUGCAAAGGAAGCACCGGCUAACUCCGUGCCAGCAGCCGCGGUAAUACGGAGGGUGCGAGCGUUAAUCGGAAUUACUGGGCGUAAAGCGCUCGUAGGCGGUAUGUCAAGUCAAGGGUGAAAUCCCCGCGCUCAACGUGGGAACUGCCGUUGAAACUGGCAGACUGGAGUGUGUGAGAGGAUAGUGGAAUUCGAGGUGUAGGAGUGAAAUCCGUAGAUAUCAGGAGGAACAUCAGUGGCGAAGGCGACUAUCUGGCACAUAACUGACGCUGAGGAGCGAAAGCGUGGGUAGCAAACAGGAUUAGAUACCCUGGUAGUC